GAUNAACGCUNGCGGCGUGCCUAAUACAUGCAAGUCGAACNCACUCUCGUUUAGAUUGAACGGAGCUUGCUCCGUGAUUGAUAAACAUUUGAACGNGUGNCGGACGGGUGAGUAACACGUGGGUAACCUGCCCUUAAGUGGGGGAUAACAUUUGGAAACAGAUGCUAAUACCGCAUAGAUCCAANGAACCGCAUGGUUCUUGGCUGAAAGAUGGCNNNAGCUAUCGCUUUUGGAUGGACCCGCGGCGUAUUAGCUAGUUGGUGAGGUAACGGCUCACCAAGGCAAUGAUACGUAGCCGAACUGAGAGGUUGAUCGGCCACAUUGGGACUGAGACACGGCCCAAACUCNNNGGGAGGCAGCAGNNGGGAAUCUUCCACAAUGGACGCAAGUCUGAUGGAGCAACGCCGCGUGAGUGAAGAAGGUUUUCGGAUCGUAAAACUCUGUUGUUGGAGAAGAAUGGUCGGCAGAGUAACUNUUGNCGGCGUGACGGUAUCCAACCAGAAAGCCACGGCUAACUACGUGCCAGCAGCCGCGGUANUACGUAGGUGGCAAGCGUUAUCCGGAUUUAUUGGGCGUAAAGCGAGCGCAGGCGGUUUCUUAAGUCUGAUGUGANANNCUUCGGCUCANNCGAGGAAGCGCAUCGGAAACUG
rnacentral:rRNA from 1 species